GGAGAGGGAGGAGGAUUCUUCCCAAACAAAGCCCUGCAAUAGAUACAUAAGGCAUUUCACCCCUUAAGGAGGUCUUGGGCAGAAAAGGAAAGUAUCAGACCAGAGAAGACUUUCCAAGUAUUCAUUUUUCAAUGUUUUGUCUGUCCACACUAUAAUGUGAGUCCCUAGGGAAUGGUCCACUUCAGCCUUAUUCCACGAUUCUCUGGAAGAGUCAUACAUGAGGCACAGAGGAAGUUUUCAGAGUGGGCAGAGCCUGUCAAGGUAGAUGAAGUGCAUUCUGCCUUUGCAAGGUACCAGCUGACUGUAUCAUUAACAGCAAUGGUAAUAAAAAAUGCAGC
rnacentral:lncRNA from 1 species